rnacentral:antisense_RNA from 1 species
UAGUAAUACUCCUUUGUGAGUGUUUUUAAAUAGGCAUAGAGAAAAAUCUUUAGCGAGUCAAUUUCUCUAUGCUUUUUAUUAUAUCA